GGCAGUGUGGCCGAGUGGUUAAGGCGACUGACUCGAAUUAUUCGGGUUAUCAGUUGGGAUUUCCCGCGCAGGUUCGAAUCCUGCUGCUGUCG
rnacentral:tRNA from 1 species